rnacentral:rRNA from 1 species
CCUACGGGGCGCAGCAGUGGGGGAUAUUGCACAAUGGGGGAAACCCCGAUGCAGCGACGCCGCGUGGGUGAAGGAGCGUUUCGGCGCGUAAAGCCCUAUCGGCAGGGAAGAAGAUGACGGUACCUGACCAAGAAGCCCCGGCUAACUACGUGCCAGCAGCCGCGGUAAUACGUCGGGGGCAAGCGUUAUCCGGAUUUACUGGGUGUAAAUGGGGCGCAGACGGCGAUGCAAGCCAGGAGUGAAAACCCCGGGCCCAACCCCGG